AUGAAUGCGUUUCUAGACCAUG
rnacentral:miRNA from 1 species